rnacentral:rRNA from 1 species
GAAUGCUGACAUAAGUAACGAUAAAGCGGGUGAAAAGCCCGCUCGCCGGAAGACCAAGGGUUCCUGUCCAACGUUAAUCGGGGCAGGGUGAGUCGACCCCUAAGGCGAGGCCGAAAGGCGUAGUCGAUGGGAAACGGGUUAAUAUUCCCGUACUUGGUGUUACUGCGAAGGGGGGACGGAGAAGGCUAUGUUGGCCGGGCGACGGUUGUCCCGGUUUAAGCGUGUAGGUGUGUGUUCCAGGUAAAUCCGGUUCACUUUAACACUGAGGCGUGACGACGAGGCACUACGGUGCUGAAGCAACAAAUGCCCUGCUUCCAGGAAAAGCCUCUAAGCAUCAGGUAACAUCAAAUCGUACCCCAAACCGACACAGGUGGUCAGGUAGAGAAUACCAAGGCGCUUGAGAGAACUCGGGUGAAGGAACUAGGCAAAAUGGUGCCGUAACUUCGGGAGAAGGCACGCUGACACGUAGGUGAAGUGAUUUACUCAUGGAGCUGAAGUCAGUCGAAGAUACCAGCUGGCUGCAACUGUUUAUUAAAAACACAGCACUGUGCAAACACGAAAGUGGACGUAUACGGUGUGACGCCUGCCCGGUGCCGGAAGGUUAAUUGAUGGGGUCAGCGCAAGCGAAGCUCCUGAUCGAAGCCCCGGUAAACGGCGGCCGUAACUAUAACGGUCCUAAGGUAGCGAAAUUCCUUGUCGGGUAAGUUCCGACCUGCACGAAUGGCGUAAUGAUGGCCAGGCUGUCUCCACCCGAGACUCAGUGAAAUUGAACUCGCUGUGAAGAUGCAGUGUACCCGCGGCAAGACGGAAAGACCCCGUGAACCUUUACUAUAGCUUGACACUGAACAUUGAGCCUUGAUGUGUAGGAUAGGUGGGAGGCUUUGAAGCGUGGACGCCAGUCUGCGUGGAGCCGACCUUGAAAUACCACCCUUUAAUGUUUGAUGUUCUAACGUGGACCCGUAAUCCGGGUUGCGGACAGUGUCUGGUGGGUAGUUUGACUGGGGCGGUCUCCUCCUAAAGAGUAACGGAGGAGCACGAAGGUUGGCUAAUCCUGGUCGGACAUCAGGAGGUUAGUGCAAUGGCAUAAGCCAGCUUGACUGCGAGCGUGACGGCGCGAGCAGGUGCGAAAGCAGGUCAUAGUGAUCCGGUGGUUCUGAAUGGAAGGGCCAUCGCUCAACGGAUAAAAGGUACUCCGGGGAUAACAGGCUGAUACCGCCCAAGAGUUCAUAUCGACGGCGGUGUUUGGCACCUCGAUGUCGGCUCAUCACAUCCUGGGGCUGAAGUAGGUCCCAAGGGUAUGGCUGUUCGCCAUUUAAAGUGGUACGCGAGCUGGGUUUAGAACGUCGUGAGACAGUUCGGUCCCUAUCUGCCGUGGGCGCUGGAGAACUGAGGGGGGCUGCUCCUAGUACGAGAGGACCGGAGUGGACGCAUCACUGGUGUUCGGGUUGUCAUGCCAAUGGCACUGCCCGGUAGCUAAAUGCGGAAGAGAUAAGUGCUGAAAGCAUCUAA